AAAUACAUCAGAUACGUUCUUGAAAGAUUGGAUGGCGGAGAGGAUGUUGACAGCGAUGCAGAGAAUGGCGGCGAGAGCAGUGAUGACGCUGAAGAAUCGGCAGGUUAUCAAGAAGGGAUCGUGCCUCGAACGGACCCGGGGGGCGGGGGAUGGCGGGUCGGGGUCGUGCGAGCUCUGCGCCUCCAUUUUCNCUUAAGGGGGGUGUAUUGGUUGUGGAGUUUAAUAGAUUUCUAUGGAAUUUAAAAGUCUGGGUGUAUUCGUUCCAGACUUUUAAAAGUCUGCAGAAAUCUGGGUGUAUUCGUUCAAGACUUUUAAAAGUCCAUAUAAAUUUGGGUGUAUUCGUUUCAGACUUUUUAAAAUCCAUACAAAUCUAGGUGUAUUCGUUAUUCCAUUGACUUCAAAUCCGGAAUGACUUUCAUGGAUUUCAUCCAAAAAAUACACACAACGAAAUCCGGCCAAGAACCACGAGAAUUGAAAUCCAUGGAGUUUGAGCGAGCGCUGAGUUCCAGCGCCCGCGGCCAAGAAGCCAGCGAGCGCUGGAACUCAGCCAUCGUUGAGAGUGUCCAGCCUAUGCUGGAUUUGAGCGGGCGCUGGAUUCCCUGUCUAUUGAUAGAGUUUUGUCUAUUGAGCGGGCGCUGGAUUUCCAUGCAAAGGUCCGAUAACCUAUUGACACAGCAUAGAUAGCAACAAUUAUGAUAAAUGAGAACAGAACUAAUUUCCAAAAGCUUCAAAUGCCAGCUCAAAUGAUGUUUUUUCUGUAUACCUUGCGAAAGUUCUCUGCAAGUCAGUCGGGCAACAAGUUAAAAUGAUGCUUUAGACACUUCCAGAUAAGAAUCUCGUCGUCUUACAUACUAUGUACGCCAUUCAAAUAUAUCAAACUUUAUAUGCAUAUUUUAAUAGCAAUCUCUGUAUGUAAGGGCAUGAUUUCCAUAGCCUACAACGAAUAUAAGGAUUCAACUGCAAACGAGUGUAGCUAAGAGAAAUAGCUCAAUCAACUGACAAAUUAAGUAACUGAAAACACAGCAAAUUCAGCAGCCAACACUAGCUGUCUCUAAAUCCUCUGGAACUCGAAUUAUAGUCAGCUAAUAACAGCUUUACCUGAUCAAUUGCUGAGGUGAGUUCCCUGUAAUUUGGCAGUCUAGUUCCUGAAAUAAAUUUAUGUAUGUAUAGUUGCUUCUAUCAAUAUAGAUUGGUAUAUUGUCCUGAAAUUAGUCAUGUGCGCGAGCUUCGUAUGAUCGAUCAUUCUGUAUAAUGCUGUAGUCACCUUUUUCGAGUUCCGCACGAACUGAACGAUAAUGCUAUAGUUGAUCUUUUGGAAUUGCACCGGCAUUCCAAAAGGUUGCUGGGUUUCCAGCGCUCGCUGGAACUCAGCGGUCGCUGGGUCUUUUCUAGCGGGCGCUGGUUCUCCGCGGGCGCUGGUUUCAUGGAAUUCAAUUCCAAAAUUAUCCCGUAAAGUCUUCGAAAAUCAGUGAAAAUCGGGGUGAAAUUCAACCACGAAUUCUUUGAAAGUCGUCUGGAAUCUAUGUGAAUUCCAUGGAAUUUAAAUUCCAUGGACUUUUUAAAGUCUGUGGAAAUCCACAACGAAUACACCCCCCUAAAAGUUGUCAUUUCUUUUUAUGGUAGUAAUUAAUUACAAGAUAAAAAACAGAAACGAGGCAAGUUAGUUUUUCGAUGCCAAAAAUUAACGAGAGCCAUCUUUAUUUUUAUAAUAGGUCACGCAUUUGAUUGCAAGUAUCAAUAAUUCAGCAUAUUUUAGAAAAAACGAUGAUUUUAAGUUUAUUAUUCUUAUCGAACAAACAUUAUGUAGCAAUGAUUCCUUGUGAUAUCUUGAGACCUCUGAAAAACAAAGAAUUGUUCAGGAAAGCUAAUAUAAAGAACCAACAAACAAGAUUGUUCUUCCAAGAAAAUGGGACACGACCUAGUAAGGUAGCAUAUAGCUAAAUUCAAAUCUACGCAACUGUACAACGGGAUUCAAUCACUAACAACAAUCCUGUUAAGCCUCACUCUGUUUUUCGUAUAAAUUUCAAACAGCAGGGUGAGUGUAGUUCAAUCCAGGUUGACAGUACGACAUUUCUCCAGCCACGUUUGAGCUCUGAAUCAAGCUUCACCGGGGACCAACAAUGACUCAAGUUCUUCUCGACGCUGCUCAAGCUCCUGCAAUUGUUAGUUUGAUGUAACAUUGGUGAUCCUCACAAAGAGCAUGAUACAAACAAAUGGAACAAAAGCCAGAAACUCAGUAAUGGAGGUGGCGUAGGGGACUGCUGGUAGGAACUUUGCAUUUAACUAAUAAGACCGACAGCUCAAAGCAGCAAAAUUUAAUUCCCAUGUAUAUGGUAAGAUUUCGAGCAUCUUUUACCAUAUAAUGAGGGUUUUAAAUCUGAUAAGGGUAAUUCCUACUUCCUUUUUAUUCCAAUUGUCGAUAUUAACUUCAAAGGAACAUCAACAGCACAGCAAGAAAUAAGGAAUAAAUUUCUACAUUACUUAGGACUCGAGAUAUCGAGCAAAUUCUAUUGCUAAACAGGAGCGGAAAAUAAACAAAAGAUAUAUACAAUAAUAGAAGGAAAAAAAAAACAAAUAUACAAGUAAACAACCUUGAUAGUGAACUACUAAAACCUUAUAAGGGUGAUGAUACUCUUUCUUAUUGUUCACUCAAACAUCUCAAUGGGGGCUAUUACGUUCAUAACCUAAUGCAGAAAGACAUUACCUCAAGAUCCUUUAUUGCUUGCUCCCUGGUGAGUUCUUUUUUCUGGCGAGCGCGUUUCACCAUGCCAAUGCAGAACAUUCCCUAAAGAGGCAUUUAAAGUUCAGACUCUAUGUUAGUGCUUAACGUACCUAAAACUCAUCGUAAGACUCUGAAUCAACAGGCCACAUGCUAUGUUGAGAGGAAAAGGUUAUUAUUUCACUGUGUAAACAAAAUUACAAAAGCCAAAGACAUUUACUACUGACCGGAAUAUAAUCAUAAACUUACUGAUAUAAGGUAAACCACACCACAUGCAAGAAGUAGGUAGCUAGCAAUGCUCUGAAGAAGAUAAAGCUCUGAAUGAUCCUUUAAAUACUCAGGGUAAGCUCGGGUCAUCACUGCAACACUGGAGAAAAUAGAUGAGCACAAGCCACAAAUGCAACAACCUAGAAGCAGUUCUUGAAUAUAAGAACAGAACUGGAAAUGGGGCUUGUCAGUGUAAUCUCCAGAUGAAUGCUACAGAUUUCUUGCUAGUCACUAUCCCAUAAGCAAUAACACAGUUGAAAGCUUAGUCUAGUCACCCAACAGGAAAACACAGGGAAACUUUGGGUGAUUUUGGAGAUUCGAUAGAAAUCUAAAUCUGGAAGAUGAAUAUAACCAACAUAACUAGGUAUGAGUAAUCUAAAACUACAUACGAGCAUAACCAAGUAGAAGUUCAACCAAAUGAGUCGCUCAGGAAAUAAAUGUAUAGCAAAAGUUGGACGUACAAGAUCUGCAGCAUUCCCCUGCCUGCCCAAUACUCCAAGACCUGCAACAUGUUCGACAGUUAACAUAACAUAUGAAUUUGAACACAACAAAUAACAGCUGGAGUGUUUUUCAAAUACUAUCAAGAAAAGGGUACUAUGACUGAACUUCCAUUCCCAUCAUAUUAAAUUAUUUUAUGCUUUAAAAGUCAAUAUUAAAGAAAACUGAAUAUGGGGAAUGAAACAGUAUCCAUCAGCUACAGAUACGUGACACAGAUUUUCUUUUUUUAUUUUCCACUAUCUGCAGACAACUAUUUAAACAGUUUUCGAGAAAGCUACAUGGAAAGUUUAGCUAUACAUCCCUUCCGAAGGCCAAGCACAAAACAGGCAACCGAUGAGCAACUGUUAGGGAAACCCGUAAAACGUCCAACUCCCAAGCUCUAUUAAAUCAUAACACUUAGGCUCCAUGAGUACAAAAGUUGUGCUAAAGACUAUCUGAACCUCCAACAUUCGAGAAACAUUUAUGUGCUUAAUUUUUAAACAAGAAUAUGAUAGAGAUGUGUCGGGAGGGCCGGUAUUUUCGGCAUGAGAAGGGAGCAAUCGCAGCAACUUCAGCGGGCUUGUUGGAAUUAAUCAAUUAGCUUUGGAUUAUUUAGUUAAUUAGUUAUUUUUCAAACCAACACAGAAUAUGUGCUUUUCCAAACCUGCAAGCUUUCUUCAAGCAAUGAUGUCAUGGGGGAAGAAUUCUUCGAUUUGGGGCUUGAGCUAAAGAACAUGUUAAACAUCAGAGUUCAAAUUAAAAAACCUCUAGAAUUGAAAACCAUCUCAAGUUACCAAGUUUUCUUAAUUAGAAAGCAGGAGGACAGAAAAUGCAGAUAUUAUAUACUAGGUGAGUAAAUUCUAGAAAGACGCCGCGGAUAACACAGAGCAUUAAUUACCCUAAAACCAAGAAAUUCAAUUCCCAGCAGUGUAAAACUUCGUCAUUUGAAAUCGUUAAUGCAUACACACCAAAUACAGAACUAAAAGCAGCGAGAGAGAGAGAGAGAGAGAGCGAACCUUGGAGAACUUCAUGAUGAAUUCCCACUCGGUCUCGGCGACCACCACAAACACGGCAAUAACCACCGCGUAACACCGGAAUAUCCCAUCGAAUAUCUGCACUAGAUCAAACGAAUUCAAAAUGUGCUGAACCCACUCGUUAUCGAACGAAUUGAAAUUGCAGAGGAAGAGGAGCAAAUACAUCAGAUACGUUCUUGAAAGAUUGGAUGGCGGAGAGGAUGUUGACAGCGAUGCAGAGAAUGGCGGCGAGAGCAGUGAUGACGCUGAAGAAUCGGCAGGUUAUCAAGAAGGGAUCGUGCCUCGAACGGACCCGGGGGGCGGGGGAUGGCGGGUCGGGGUCGUGCGAGCUCUGCGCCUCCAUUUUCAACUGAGAUGGUGAAAUGCAACUGCUGCCGCGUGGCUCAGGACUUGAGUUCCUGCACCUGCU
rnacentral:lncRNA from 1 species